GAUGAAGAACGUAGCGAAAUGCGAUAAGUAAUGUGAAUUGCAGAAUUCAGUGAAUCAUCGAAUCUUUGAACGCACAUUGCGCCCCUUGGUAUUCCGAGGGGCAUGCCUGUUCGAGCGUCAUUAUAACCCCUCAAGCUCGGCUUGGUGUUGGGGCCUGCCGCACGGGCAGCCCUUAAAAUCAGUGGCGGUGCCAUCUGGCUCUAAGCGUAGUAAUUCUUCUCGCUAUAGAGUCCCGGUGGAUGCUUGCCAUUAACCCCCAAUUUCGAUGGUUGACCUCGGAUCAGGUAGGGAUACCCGCUGAACUUAAGCAUAUCAAUAAGCGGAGGA
rnacentral:misc_RNA from 1 species